GGGGAGUAUGGUGGGAAGCCCUGUGAGAUUUCACAGGGGUCUGGGGAGUGUGGGCUACCCUGGUGACUCACUUCUAAAAACAAAUAGAACAUGGCAAAAGUUAUGAACUGUCACUUCCAAGAUUAGGAUACAAAAGGACUGUGACUUCAACCUUGCUUGUCAACUUUUGUCUCUCCCCUCGCUCCAAGGGAAUUGAGCCGCCAUCUUGUAAACUAACUUCUGGAGGGACCGCAUGGCAAGGAACAGGGGGCAGCUCCUGGUCAACAGCCAGGAAGGAACUGAGGCCCUCAGAGAACUGAAUCCUGCCAACAGCCAAGUGACUGGGUGUGGAAGUGGACCCACCCCAGUUGAGCCUUUAGAUGGGACCAUAGCCCCAGCCAACACCUUGAUCACAGUGAGAGGUUAUCAGCUGAACUCUCCCAGCUAGCUGUGCUCAGAUUCCUGGCCCACAGGAAAACGUGAAAUAAAAAAUGUGUGUUGUUUUAAACCACUGCUCUUGGGGUAAUUUGUUACAAAGCAGUAGACAGCUAAUAGAGGGGGUGCAGGGUUUGGUAUGCAGUAUUCUCACAGAUACUGGUUCCUUUCUUUUUCUCUCUUCUUACCACAAAUCUCUCUUUCGUAGCUCUGCCAGCCUGCCGUGCUCAUGCACCCAGAGGGAGAUCUGCACCAACCCCUCAGAACAAUAGCUUGCUGAGUGACCCUGAGUCAUCUGGAGCAGGUCACAUUGUGCCAGCCUGUGUAAGACUGCUUUUCCCCUCCAGGCCUCUCCAGGACUCACGCUCAGGCCCUCCCCUCCACGUCCAGGUCGUGCCUUGGCGUGCGGACAUCUGUGUGCAUCGUGGUGCCGGGAGCAGGGACUGUCUAGUGCGUGCCUCCUGGACACACAGCUGGACUGUGCUUCCCAGCCCCCGACCCCCUGGGAGCCUGGCCCAUCAAACCCUCCUCCCCUCCCUCCUUCCCUGGAUCCCAGGCCCCCCCCCCCCCCGGGAGAGUGGGGCCAUUUGCUGGAAGGAGCCUGGGCCCCUGCAUGACCGUGUGGAGCUGAGCAGCCACAGAGCCCACGUCAGGCUCAGGUGUGAGAGACAAGUAGAUGUCUACUGUGGGAAGUCACUGAGCUGUGCUGUGGUGUUUUUUGUUUUUUUUUUUUUUUUUAAUGUUUAGUUUGAGAGAGAGUAUGAGAGAGAGUGAGUGAGGAAGAGGCAGAGAGGGAGACAGAAUCCAAAGCAGGCUCCAAGCUCCAAGCUGUCGACAUAGAGCCUGACACGGGGCUCAAACCCACAAACCGUGAGAUGCUGACCUGAGCCGAAGUCAGAUGCUUAACCAACUGAGCCAUCCAGGCACCCCGACGUGCUGUGGCUUGUUAGCUUGCUGGAGCUUCCAGGGCUGGGACGAGGCAGCUAGAACAAGGGCUACCCAGGGCAGUGGCAGCUUCCUGUGGCCUCACAAGCAGCAGGGGCCUCAGCCCAGGAAGGAGAGAUGGUGGAUGCUUCUUUAGGGGGGCCCCCGAGGACCCCCAGAACCACCAGCAUCCUUAGUGGGGAGGGGGAUGGGUCCCACAGUACGCAUGAGGCGGGGGGGCCAGGGCUCUCUGCAAGCAAGCAGCCGCAGCCCCGGGGACCAGGAGGCUGAGAGGUAGUGUUCCCCCCUCAACCCCAAAGCCUUCCUCUGAAUGCCUCGGAGAAAACGGCCACUUGGUCCCCUGUUGUCCGCGAAGAUGUGGCAGAGUCUUGCAUUGGGAGCCUGAGAAAUCUGGAUUUGAAUUCCCUGCUCCACAACCAACUCACUCUGGACACGAACUCUUGAUGUCUGCCUCCACAUGGCUUUACUCGGUGUCUGUGUGUAAAUGCAUGCAUCCAGGCCUCUUCUCUUUUAAGGACACCACUCACUGAGCCAAGAGUUAAAUCACUGCCCUGUCGCACCAACCUGUGGAUGGGAUUGGUGGCCCGGUGAACCACGGCCUUCUGGUGUUCAUGCCCUCCCGUGGUCUUCCUCCCGCUGGAGCCGACCCUGUGACUAGAACGUGCCACAUCCGGGCCUGGCCUGCCAGAGGGCUGCCGGCCUCCGCCGCUCCCCUCCUGGACCCUGCACCUUGGGGAGCUCUGUGCACCCGUCUACCAAGUUCAAGUCCCCUCCGGGAAGAUGAGCCGGAGAGGCAGGCUGU
ensembl:lncRNA